AAACCGAAAAAGGAAAUGAAUAUUGAAAAAGGAAAAAGAAACCGAAUUAGGAAAUGAAAAUCGAAUAAGGAAAUGGAAAUCGAAUAAGGAAAUGAAAAUCCAAUUAAGGAAAUAGAAACCGAAUAAGGAAAUAGAAACCGAAAAAGGAAAUGAAUAUUGAAAAAGGAAGAAGAAACCGAAUAAGGAAAAGAAAAUCGAAUAAGGAAAUGAAAAUCGAAUAAGGAAAUGGAAAUCGAAUAAGGAUGAUAAUCGAAAAAGGAAAAAGAAAACGAAUAAGGAAAUGAAAAAAAAAUUAGAAGAAAAACUUUUUGAGGAAAAAUAUUUUUUUAAAAAUUGAAAAAAAAAAUUUUUGAGGAAAAAAAAUUUUGAGGAAAAAAAAAUUUUUGAGGAAAAAAAAAAAUUUGAGGAAAAAAAAUUUUGAAGGAAAAAAAAUUUUUGAGGAAAAAAAAUUUGAAGCAAAAAAAAAAUUCAGUUUGGACUUGUAAUAUUUUUCAAAAUUUGAAUAUCGAAAAAGGAAAUGGAAACCGAAUAAGGAAAUGAAAAUCGAAAAAGGAAAUAGAAACCGAAUAAGGAAAUAGAAACCGAAAAAGGAAAUGAAUAUUGAAAAAGGAAAAAGAAACCAAAUAAGGAAAAAGAAACCGAAUAAGGAAAAAGAAACCGAAUAAGGAAAUGGAAAUUGAAUAAGGAAAUGAAAAUCCAAUAAGGAAAUAGAAACCGAAUAAGGAACUAGAAACCGAAAAAGGAAAUGAAUAUUGAAAAAGGAAAAAGAAACCGAAUUAGGAAAUGAAAAUCGAAUAAGGAAAUGGAAAUCGAAUAAGGAAACGAAAAUCCAAUUAGGAAAUAGAAACCGAAUAAGGAAAUAGAAACCGAAAAAGGAAAUGAAUAUUGAAAAAGGAAAAAGAAACCGAAUAAGGAAAUGAAAAUCGAAUAAGGAAAUGGAAAUCGAAUAAGGAAAUGAAAAUCCAAUAAGGAAAUAGAAACUGAAUAAGGAAAUAGAAACCGAAUAAGGAAAUGAAUAUUGGAAAAGGAAAAAGAAACCGAAUAAGGAAAUGAAAAUCGAAUAAGGAAAUGGAAAUCGAAUAAGGAUGAUAAUCGAAAAAGGAAAAAAAAACGAAUAAGGAAACGAAAAAAAAAUUUGAAGAAAAACUUUUUGAGGAAAAAUAUUUUGAGGGAAAAAAAAAAUUUGAGAAAAAAAAAUUGAGGAAAAAAAAUUUGAGGA
rnacentral:lncRNA from 1 species